GGCUCGAGGACGAACGCUGGCGGCGUGCCUAACACAUGCAAGUCGAACGGACGAGAGGAGCUUGCUCCUCGAGUUAGUGGCGAACGGGUGAGUAACGCGUGAGCAACCUGCCUUUCAGAGGGGGACAACGGUUGGAAACGACCGCUAAUACCGCAUGAUGCAUUCUGGUCGCAUGAUCGGGAUGCCAAAGAUUUAUCGCUGAAAGAUGGGCUCGCGUCUGAUUAGAUAGUUGGUGGGGUAACGGCCUACCAAGCCGACGAUCAGUAGCCGGACUGAGAGGUUGAACGGCCACAUUGGGACUGAGAUACGGCCCAGACUCCUACGGGAGGCAGCAGUGGGGAAUAUUGGGACCAAUGGGGGAAACCCUGACCCAGCAACGCCGCGUGAAGGAAGAAGGCUUUCGGGUUGUAAACUUCUUUACCAGGGACGAAGGACGUGACGGUACCUGGAGAAAAAGCCACGGCUAACUACGUGCCAGCCGCCGC
rnacentral:rRNA from 1 species